rnacentral:rRNA from 1 species
CAGCCGCCACGGUAAUACGUAGGGUGCGAGCGUUAAUCGGAAUUACUGGGCGUAAAGCGUGCGCAGGCGGUUGUGUAAGACAGGUGUGAAAUCCCCGGGCUUAACCUGGGAACUGCGCUUGUGACUGCACAGCUAGAGUAUGGCAGUGGGGGGUGGAAUUCCACGUGUAGCAGUGAAAUGCGUAGAGAUGUGGAGGAACACCGAUGGCGAAGGCAGCCCCCUGGGCCAAUACUGACGCUCAUGCACGAAAGCGUGGGGAGCAAACAGGAUUAGAUACCCGCGUAGUCCCUGUCUCUUAUAC